UACGUAGGGUGCGAGCGUUGUCCGGAAUUAUUGGGCGUAAAGAGCGUGUAGGCGGCCUGACAGGUCUGCUGUGAAAACUCGAGGCUCAACCUCGAGAUGUCGGCGGAAACCGUCUGGCUAGAGUCCGGAAGAGGAGAGUGGAAUUCCUGGUGUAGCGGUGAAAUGCGCAGAUAUCAGGAAGAACACCCGUGGCGAAAGCGGCUCUCUGGAACGGUACUGACGCUGAGACGCGAAAGCGUGGGGAGCGAACAGG
rnacentral:rRNA from 1 species